rnacentral:rRNA from 1 species
GCCAUGCGAGUCAUUGUAGCAAUACAAGGCAGACGGCUCAGUAACGCGUAGUCAAUCUACCCUAUGGACGGGAAUAACCUCGGGAAACUGAGAAUAAUGCCCGACAGAACAUUAUACCUGGAACGGUUUAUGUUUCAAAUGAUUUAUCGCCGUAGGAUGGGACUGCGGCCUAUCAGUUUGUUGGUGAGGUAAUGGCCCACCAAGACUAUUACAGGUACGGGCUCUGAGAGGAGUAGCCCGGAGAUGGGUACUGAGACACGGACCCAGGCCCUAUGGGGCGCAGCAGGCGAGAAAACUUUGCAAUGUGCGAAAGCACGACAAGGUUAAUCCGAGUGGUUUCUGCUAAAGAAACCUUUUGCUAGUCCUAGAAACACUAGUGAAUAAGGGGUGGGCAAGUUCUGGUGUCAGCCGCCGCGGUAAAACCAGCACCUCAAGUGGUCAGGAUGAUUAUUGGGCCUAAAGCAUCCGUAGCUCGUUUUGUAAGUUUUCGGUUAAAUCCAUACGCUUAACGUAUGGGCUGCCGGGAAUACUGCAUAACUAGGAAGUGGGAGAGGUAGACGGUACUCGGUAGGAAGGGGUAAAAUCCUUUGAUCUAUUGAUGACCACCUGUGGCGAAGGCGGUCUACCAGAACACGUUCGACGGUGAGGGAUGAAAGCUGGGGGAGCAAACCGGAUUAGAUACCCGGGUAGUCCCAGCUGUAAACUAUGCAAACUCAGUGAUGCAUUGGCUUGUGGCCAAUGCAGUGCUGCAGGGAAGCCGUUAAGUUUGCCGCCUGGGAAGUACGUACGCAAGUAUGAAACUUAA